AUUAAUAAUCUCUUCUUUCUCUCUUGGGCACUGGUGGUGAGAAAAGAGGAAGUCUAGGUAAGAAAUAAAAAUUAAUAAUCUCUUCUUCUCCUGCUGCUGCAAUUUUUCAUCUGUUUAUGAAUUUCCUCACGGUGAUCGAGUCGCUUAUAAAUCCGCUUCAUGCAAUAACAAUUUCGAGCUGGUAUGACUUCCCAUCAUUACUAAUACUAGUAGUAAUUUUGUUAACUUUGAGCCGAUAAAAAAAAAAGAAUAAUAAAAAUUGUUAACUUUGUUAAUUGAUCUGAGUUUGUUUGUUUUUUCUGAUAUUUUGUUUAAAUCUUAUAAUUCUAGGUUUGGCUUCAUAAUUGUGCUUUUUAAUUUGAAUAAUUUGAAGUAAAAUCACUUGAAAGUUUAUUAGAUUGAUAUAUUUUCUGAAAUGUGUAGAGCGUAAUUGAGAAUAAGUAGAUGAGUUCAGUUUUAAAUCUUUUAAAGAUUUGGAUCUCUGGGAUUAGACCGCUAGGGGUCAUUUGUUGGGAGGAAUUGUAUGACUGAUUUUAGGAAAUCUAAGUGCUGUAGGAGUUGAAGUGAAACAAAGUAAUAUAUGUCAGUUUUUUUUUUUAAUGCUCCCUAGUAUAUACUCCCUCUCUAACUUGUAAGCAAUAGAAUGUUGUCCCUAGCAUAUGCAUUUAAGCAUUUUCAGUUUCUGUUUCAAAGCUUCUAUUUGUGUAGUGGAUUCCCGUGAGUGUGGUUUGGAUCUGGGAAGAUGUUAUUCUAAAUCAUUUUUAGGUAAAGCUGAUGAUGUGGGUAAAUAAUACCAAAGUUGAAGGUGCUGCCUUUGGUGCUCUCUUGCCAGCACAUGCAGACAAUGCUCUUCGAUAUCAAUUGUUGUUGUAGAUCAUGUUUUGUUCAACCUGUUUCAGUUAUCAAUAUUUUAUUGCACUGUCUACAUGCAGAGAUUGUGCCUUUACAAUGAAAGAAGAAGUUCCUGAAUCAGGUGGUGCAUCUAGGUUAUUGGUGAUGAUUGACAAUGAAGAUCUUUACAAAACGGUGAGUUCUGAAAAUUCCAUAAACAUAACAAUUCCUGUUGCCAUGAUCUCGCGAAGACGACCUGAAAGACCAUGAAAAAGUUAAUGUUAGCCCGAGGGCUGGUGGAGCUUCUGUUGUACUCUCCAAACCGCCCACUUGUAGACGUUUCAGUGAUAUUUGUAUGGCUGAUGGGACUAUUGUCUGCACGUCUCUUUGAUCAGAGUUUAUUGCUUCUGAGCAAGGUUGAUUCAGUGCUUCUUUCAUGUGGAUUGUAUACUAUAUAUUUUGGGUCUUUGGAUCUCCACUCAUCUUAAACGAAAGUGUUAUGAUUGCGGUUGUUCGAGGUGACAAUAGUGGUGGAGAAGCAAUUCCUAUGCUUUUGAGGAUCCCUAGAUUUUUUGAUCCAUGGGGUGGAUAUGAUAUGAUUGGCUUCGGAGAUAUUAUCUUUCCUGGUUUACUCGUUGCAUUUGCCUUUAGAUAUGACAGAUCGAGUAACAAGGGUAUCCUUAAUGGAUAUUUUCUUUGAUUGACGAUAGGCUAUGGCGUGGGUCUCAUCCUCACACUUGAUGGAUGGGCUUGGUCAACCUGCACUCCUAUAUCUUGUUCCUCGUACUUUGGGUAACAUUUUAAAACUUGCCUCAGUUGAAGAUAGUAUAAAACCAGUUUAACAGCAUUCUUGUUUUUCUUAUUGUUUUAAAUCCUUAGCUUUUCGUUGUUUUUAAAACGGAAAUGCUAUUUGGCUCCCUAUUCUCCACCUCACUAUAAUCUAAGCCUCACAUCCAUAUCGAGAUCCGCAUUCAGGUUUAGGUGGGGUUCACCAUUCCCCUAAUAUGGGGUUUAGAUUGUAGGGAGAAAAAUAGGGAGGCGAAGAUCAGGUGGGCUAUCGUCAUUAUUUAUUUUGCUAUAGUUUCAUUAGUUCUCUGUUUAAAAUUAUAGGAGUAGUUUAAAAUUAAUUUUCAAAUUUUUUAAUUAAUUAUUAAUUAAAUAUUCGGGGACCACAACCUGUAUAUGUUAUCUAUAUGAAUUUUGAUCUCUAUUCAUUUAGAUUAACUUUUUUUUUGUGUGUGUGCAUUUAGGUUAACUUGAAAAUACAUCAAUCAUCAAAUUUUUUAAUCUUCUGUGAAAAUGCAUGACACGAAGACUUGUUAUGCGAAGAUAAAAGCUUCCAACAAGUUUCACCUAAGCCCAUAAAAAAUUUAAAAUUUAUGAGACUUUUGAAAAAAAAAAAAACGUUAUAAUCAAAGGAUAUUUUAGAAGCUCAACUGUCCUUACAUGAGAUUG